rnacentral:rRNA from 1 species
UACGUAGGGUGCGAGCGUUGUCCGGAAUUAUUGGGCGUAAAGGGCUCGUAGGCGGUUUGUCGCGUCGGAAGUGAAAACACGGGGCUUAACUCUGUGCUUGCUUUCGAUACGGGCAGACUAGAGGGAUGCAGGGGAGAACGGAAUUCCAGGUGUAGCGGUGAAAUGCGUAGAUAUCUGGAGGAACACCGGUGGCGAAGGCGGCAUCCUGGACCGGCAUUGACGCUGAGGAGCGAAAGCCAGGGGAGCAAACGGG